rnacentral:misc_RNA from 1 species
CUUAGAGUGAGCACGCACUCACCCACCCACCCACACCCGCAGGCGCAGCGUAGCCUCUUCCCCUAUCGACCCUUGAAACUCUCGCACCAGUCCUAAAAACCCUAGAAAUCAGGGUUUCUUCAACCCACAAAUUCACUUCCUUUCCCUUUAAUUUCCCGCAAACCUUGAUUCAAAAUCUCAAAUUCACGAACAAAAUGGACGAUAUUGAAGACGAUGCUCGGUUUCCACCAAAAGCCCUUUCUUUCAAUCGCUCGAGAAAAGGUCCUGUAUACUCUCACUACAAUCAUGAUUACGUCGUCGACGAUGAUGACGACGAUGUCGAAUUUGGUGAAGACAACGAUCGAGAUUCCGACGACAACUAUAGCUCUAGAAGGUAUUCCCACAAUUUCGAUCAACAAAACAAUGAUUUCGAUAGAUACCCG